AUCCCAAAACCAGUCCAACCUGUCUCUGCCUCCCUAACCUGUUCUUCCUCUCAGCCAUCCCUUCCUCCCACCCCAAGCCGCACCCCCAGCUACCUACUAACCUCAUCCCACCUCCUUGACCUGUCCGUCUUCCCUGGACUGACCUUUUCUCUCCUCUCCACCUUCGGUCCGCCUCCCCCUCUCUCCCUAUUUAUUCCAGUUCCCUCUCCCCGUCCCCCUCUCUGAUGAAGGGUCUAGGCCCGAAACGUCAGCUUUUGUGCUCCUGAGAUACUGCUUGGCCUGCUGUGCUCAUCCAGCCUCACAUUUUAUUAUUUUAGGAGAGAGAGCUGUUUUGGUUUGUGAUACAAGAGACGAGGCUGUCUAUGCCUUUCACCCAUCGGUAGCUCUCCUCCUGUCCCUGCCUCUAUGCACACACUCUGCCAGGCAUAGUCUUCCUCCCUCUGUGUGUGUGUGUGUGUGUGUGUGUGUGUGUCUCUCUCGCUUCAGCUCCUAAACCUAAGAUGCAUCGGAUAUAAAAACACGCACAUAAACACACACACACACACACAUCAACAAGCCAUGGAGAAAGAUCAGGAAUUACUGCAAGCUGUCAAAACCGAAGAUGUAGCUGCAAUGCAGAAGCUGUUGCAAAGGCCGAAACAAGGCAAAGCGAAACCAUACAAUUAGACUGUUUUGAUGAGGAACUUAAAGAUUACGAGUCCCGUCCGUUUGACUCAGAGUUUGGUACCAUAGGUUGGUACGAUCUUCGUUGGAGAAGGAAAAGGGAUGUUCCAGAUACAGAAAAUAGUCAAACCAUUUACUACAAAGUCCGUUUCUGGGUGGAGUUAGUGGAACUGAAAAAGAUGUCUCCCUCACAGCGUUUGUGACACAAGAAUUGCAUCGUUCCUUGGCAGCCUUUCAACAGAAGAAUAUUCAGAGAUUUCACGAACAACAUCAGGUGGAGAUGUGCGUGAUUUCAGCAAGGUGCUGAGAAAUAAGUUCAGAUCAAAGAAACACUUUGCCAAACAUCCUCGCUUGAGUUAUUUACUAGUACAAACAGUUCUAGAAGGCGAGAACCUUGAGAGGACACAAUCAUCGCCUUGGAAGCUUCAUCACGAUGCUACUUUGCAUUUCUGAAGAGGGAAGAAGAAAUCAACAUGCAAAUUCAAUUCCAUGGUUUUGGAAGUCCCAUUGAGAACACGAUUCAUUUGCGCCGGCACAAUGCUCUGACCGAGAAAGAAUUGAAGUUUCCACUUGGAAGAAAGAUUCACAUCAAAUUGACUGGUCAAGGAAAUGGGACACUGAUUUAAUUGCAUGACAGUUGAAUGGUUCGUUGAGAGUGAGGAACCUAUGGACUCUCACACACCAAGAUGGAAUUUAGUUCGAAGAAACCAUACGAUUGGACUGUUUUGAUGAGAAAUUUAAAGAUUACGUGUCCCAUCCGUUUGACUCACAGUUUGGUACCAUAGGUUGGUACGAUCUUCGUUGGAGAAGGAAAAGGGAUGUUCCAGAUACAGAAAAUCGUCAAACCAUUUACUACAAAGUCCGUUUCUGGGUGGAGUUAGUGGAACCGAAAAAGAUGUCUCCCUCACAGCGUUUGUGACAAAAGAAUUGCAUCGUUCCUUGGCGGCCUUUCAACAGAAGAAUAUUCAGAGAUUUCACGAGUGUGGAUCUGUUGGAGUUGCACACAGCGCAACGCGUCUUUGAUCAACACAAAUUGACACAAACCGAGCAACUUCUGAAUGUGACUGAAGUAAUCAACUGUUUAACGUCCAUUUAUGAUGUUUUGGAACAAAACCACAAGGACUUGGUCAAUGUGCCACUCUGUGUCGACAUGUGUCUGAACUGGCUGCUGAACGUAUUUGAUACGGGUAUGAGUGGAAGAAUCAGAGUGCUUUCUUUGAAAAUUGGCUUGACGUGACUCUUCAAGGAUCAUCUAGAGGAAAAAUACAAGUAUCUCUUCAAACAAGUCGCUGAACCCACAGAUUUAUGUGACCAACGAAGCCUGAGUCUUUUGCUUUACGAUGCAGUCCAGAUCCCUUGGCAGCUGGGUGAGGUAGCUUCAUUUGGAGGCUGCAACAUUGAACCAAGUAUCCGCAGUUGCUUCCAACAUGGCCAGAACAAACCAGAGAUUGAUGUUGAACGCUUUGUCGAGUGGAUGAGAUUGGAGCCUCAGUCCAUGGUGUGGCUGCCUGUUCGACACCGUGUGGCAGCUGCUGAAACUGCAAAACAUCAGGCUAAGUGUAACAUCUGCAAAGAGGCUUUGUGAGGCUUUGCAAAAAGGCUUUGUGAGGGGUACCGCAGUCUCAAGCACUUCAAUUCUGACAUCUGCCAAAGCUGUUUCUUUUCGGGGCGCACAUCAAAGGGACACAAGUUACAUUGCCCCAUGGUGGAGUACUGCACUCCGAACCUACCCCGGAAGAGAGAGCCCAGAGAAUUGCCAAAGCUGUCCGCAAACAGUCAAUAGAAGUGAAGGAAACUUGGGAGCAAUUGAAAACCCAUGCGAGCAACUGGCAGAAACAGGUGGAAAAGGUGUUGGAGAAACUUCAAGAACUGCAGAAAGCUCUGGAUGAUCUUGAGGCUCAUGUGAUAACAGCUGAAGGGGUCCGCACUGAUUGACAACCUGUGGGUGAACUGCUUAUUGACUCAUUGCAGGAUCACAUUGAUAAAACCACAGGGUUGGAGUCGAAGAAUCAGAGUGCUUUCUUUGAAAAUUGUCUUGAUGUGUCCAUCCAAGCGUCAACUGGAGGAAAAAUACAAGUGUCAGUACUAAAUCUAUCAUUGCUGAUACACUUGUAAACUGUAGGUUUAACUGGAGAAUCUACUCCGGAAGAGAGAGCCCAGAGAAUUGCCAAAGCUGUCUGCAAGCAGUCAACUGACGUGAAGGAAAAUUGGGAGCAAUUGAAAACCCAUGCGAGCAACUGGCAGAACAAGGUGGAAAAGGCGUUGGAGAAACUUCAAGAACUGCAGAAAGCUCUGGAUGAUCUUGAGCCUCAUGUGAUAACAGCUGAGGGGGUCCACAUUGAUUGGCAACCUGUGAAUGACCUGUUUAUUGACGCAUUGCAGGAUCACAUGGAUAAAACCACAGUUAAGGACUGCCUGCAAAAUCUGAGAUUGGGUUUUGAAACACAUCAACCUUUGCUUGCGAGAGAUAAUGGUAACUGUAGAUGCUAGAGAAUGCGAGAUAACAAUGUGUGGAGCUGGAUGAACACAGCAGGCCAAGCAGCAUCUCAGGAGCACAAAAGUUGACAUUUCGGGCCUCGACCCUUCAUGCGAGAGAACGUAACGUUUUUAAAGAAGAAAUUGCCCCAGUCAAACAAGAAGUCAAAAUAUUAAAUGAUCUGGGAUGUCAGUUAUCUCCGCUUGAUGUCUCUUUCUCUCCAAAGAUUUCUCACCAGCUUGAUGACCUAAAUAUGAGGUUGAAAUUUAUACAGACAACAUCAGGUGAAGAUGUGCGUGAUUUCACCAAGGUGCUGAAAAAUAACUUCAGAUCAAAGAAAUACUUUGCCAAACAUCCUCGCUUGGGUUAUUUACCACUACAAACAGUCCUAGAAGACAAGGAAAUAUUAGUGAUGCAAUGAAGAGUUUGAUGAUAAAAUAUAAUUACUGUUACGGUUUCCUCUUGGACGAAAUAGUCUCAUCAAAUUGACUGGUCAAGGAAAUGGGACACUGACUGUGAGUACUUUGAGUGUUUAAGUGAUUCCUAAAAUGAAAAUUAUGACCUUGAUUUCUCUUGCAUGCAGAUAUGAAGAGACUAUUUUAAAAAUCCUCUCGGUUCGUGGUUCAGGCAUAAAGGUGUCACAUGUAUAUUUAUGUAUAUACAUGUACAUGUGUAAUCUGAAAAGAAAAUGACGAUAAAUCACUUGUUACAAGUUCCUCAAGCUUUAGCAUAAACUGGUGGAGACUUUCGGCGCUUGCAAAAAGGCUCACCUCUCUGUUAAUACUGAAGGAAAAUUGGAGUUUAAAAAACCAUACGAUUACACUAAUUUUGAUGAGGAAUUUAAAGAUUAUGAGCCCCGUCCGUUUGACCCGCAGUUUGGUACCAUAGGUUGGUACGAUCUUCGUUCGAGAAGGAAGAGGGAUGUUCCAGACACAGAAAAUCGUCAAACCAUUUACGACAAAGUCUGUUUCUGCUUAGUAUUAAUUAAUGCAGUUAACAUUUUCAGAUCGACAUGAUUGCAGAAUGGAGUCAAUAAAACAAAUUCCAUCUGAUAUUCAACAUAAAUUUUAAGUUUAGAAUAACAAGCUCACAAGAGCUUGGUUUUAGAUAUCACUUGGGACCACAGACUAACAGACAAAGGAACAAAGCAAAACGACUCUGCGAUUUGAUGUAGAAACUCCUGACUCCGAAGCCUGCAGCCGCCCUCCAAUUCUCAAGUCAGAAGUGUGUCAAUGAUGGUGCAGAUCCAACAACACUGGAAACGAUCUUGAGUCUAGACCAAAGCAGCCCCUUGAUUGGCACCGUAUCCAUUCUCUCCACAACCAACUCCAAGACACAAUAAUGUGUCCAUAUACAAGAUGCACUGCCACAUUUUUUUCCAACUAUUCUUACACCCGCCUUUCCAGACUUAGAAAACUCAUCUUCAAGGUCAAGGACAUCAGACAUGGUAGCACUAAUCCCAGUAAAAAUCACCUCCAAGCUACUCUCAAACUUAUUUGGAAAUGAAUGAUUGUUCCUGAGUCAAUAUUAGUAAUCUCUUUUGGAACAGCAUUGUGGGUCUGUGUACAGCAACAUGAAGCUGUUCAAGAAGUCAAUUUGUGCUGGACAAUCAGCAACAGCUAUGUCUCAUUAAAGAAUAAAUAAAUCGGAAAGAAAUCCAUCUGAGAGUCACAAGCAAAUGGAGAAGGAGCGGGAGCAGCGGAGGAAGUGACGAGGACCAGAGGGGCAGCCGGGAAGGAAAGCAGUGAGUAUAAAUACUCACCCUUCGACGCCAACGGCCAUUUUGAGUGCGAGCAGCAGCGGAGAGAAGGAGUGGGAGCAGCAGAGGAAGUGACGAGGACCAGAGGGGCAGCCGGGAAGGAAAGCAGUGACCAUAUAUAUCAGCCUUCGACGCCAACGGCCAUUUUGAGUGCGAGCAGCAGCGGAGGCAAGACGGACCCGGAAGACUGCAGCUAAGAUGCGGAUAAAGUUCUCCAAGCUGACAGAAAUUGAAAGCACUCGCAUCCUGUGACGAUGGGGUAGGAGUGGAAGAAUCAGAGUGUUUCUUUGAAAAUUGGCUUGAUGUGUCAAUCCAAGCGUCAUCUGGAGGAAAAAAUACAAGUAUAUCUUCAAACAAGUAGCUGAACCCACAGAUUUAUGUGACCAACGAAGCCUGAGCCUUUUGCUUCACGAUGCAGUCCAGAUCCCUCGGCAGCUGGGUGAGGUAGCUUCAUUUGGAGGCAGCACCAUUGAACCAAGUGUCCGCAGUUGCUUCCAACAUGCACUCAGACAUGAACUAAUGGAUAAGGAGGAGACAAUCAUAACUGCUUUGGAUUCAGCCCAUAGAAGGGCCAGAGGAGCCGCGCUGACACCUUCAUGUUUAAACAGAGGACACUUUUCUGCGUGCCACGAGAUGUAUAUCAGCCAUACCAAAAUGCUGCCUUUGCCUGAGACAGGGAAGAUCAACUGACUUUGGGGAAAUGGAGAAUCAUUCAUGAAUCCAGUUACUUUCUGAUCUGACAGCUUUGUGGCAUCUGAAUGGAUAACAAUUUGAUCUGGUAAUCUCAAUUGAUAGAGUGCAAAUGUGUAGUGAUGCAUUUUGGGAGCUCUGGUAAGUGAAAGAUGUUCACAAUGACUAGUAGAUCCCUAGAGAGCACUGAAAAACAAAGGGACCUUGAUAUCCAAAAGCAAGAGUUCAUGCCCUCUGCUUCUGGCCUUUCAGGCAAAGUUGGAUCCAACACUCCACUGAGUCUUAGAUCCCAUGAGCUCUUGUUUUGUUGACCAGUCUGCUAUCACUGACCUUAUCAAAAACAUAUAGACCACAUCAGAUGAAUUUCCCUCUUCAACACUUCUGAUAUCUCCUCAAUAAAAAUUAGAUAAAAUUUGCAAACCAUGGCAUUACCUCAACAAAGCCAUGCUGACUAUCCCCGAACAUUCCAUGUUUCUCCAAGUGCAGCGACAUUUUGUCCCUUAAAAUUCUUUCUGAUAACUUCCCUACCACCAAGGUUAGACUGGCUUGUAACUUCUGGAUCUGUCCUUUCUUCUUUUAUAUAAAAGUAUGAGCGGUCCUCUGGCACCUUAGCUGUGGCCAGAAAUGACUUGAAAAAUCUUUGCCAGGACCUUUUGAUAUCUCCUCCCCUGCUUCAUAAAGUCAUGCAGUAUAGAAACAGGCUCACUUGAUCAACAUCAAUGCCAACUAACAAACAUCAAACUACUGAUCCCAUUUACCUGCACUGAGUCAUUACCUACCAUACCCUGGCCCUUUAAAUGCUCAUCUGUUGCUUCUUUAAUAUUGCAAGCGUAUCUGCCUUCUCCACCUUGUCAGGCAGCAUAUUACAUGUUUGUAUCACUUUUGGUGAAAACACUUGCCUCAGAUCCCCUCUAAAUAGCUGACAGUUUACCUGAAAUCUAUGCCCCCUGACUUAAACUCGUCUACUGGUUCUCACAAUCAAUCUAUGCCUCUCAUAAUUUUGUAUACGUCGAUCAGAUUUCCCCUCAGCCUCCUCUGCUGCAUGGAAAACGCAAUUAGCCUACCAGUUUCUCCUCAUAAAACUUGCAUUCAAUCACAAAACAACACCCUGAAACAUAUACUAUCAACCAACCUGGCCAACAUCUCUGUCUCCGGCUUGCUACAGUGUUCCAGUGAAGCCCAGCACAAGCAGACAGAACAACACCUCAUUUUCUACUUGGGGACCUGACAGCCCUCCAGACUUAACAUUGAGUUCUGCAAUUUUAGGGCCUAAACUCUCCCAUAUCCCAGCGCCCCCACCCCACACACCAGGCUUUGUUACCACGCAGCCUGCCACCACACACUCCCUGUUGUUAGUGACUAACAGUCCCCAUUGACAACUUCCCAGCCUGAUCGUUAGCAACUCCUUUAUCUGUCCACCUGUCUUUCUCUCUCUUUGGGCUCUAUCCUAUUGUUUACUCCCUCCCCCACCCUCCUCCCUAUUUUCGGCAUAGAAACCGAUGUUUUCCCAGCCACCAUCAGUUCUGAGGAAGGGUCACUGGACUGGAAAUGUAAACUCUGUUUUUUCCUCCAACAUAUGUUGCCACACCUGCUGAGCUUUUCCAGCAACUUUGUUUUUGCUCGUCAUUUACAGCAUCCGCAGUUCUUGUGGUUUUUAUCACUAAACCUGUCAGACUCAUCAAUGCUCUCUAAUGCUCCAACUUGUUGCUCAAAUUGCUCCAAUAAAAGAGGCACCUGCUGUACACAUGGUCAUGCAGACCAGCAGGAGCACUCAGCAUUUGACAUGUAGCGUAGGAUGCACCAAUCAUGGGUCAGAUCUUAAUUCCAGGCAUACCUUAACUCAACAGAACACGGAUCUUUGCUUUUAAUUUACUCAUUCUCCUGCUUAAUUGUAGGGGACAAAAACCGGUGUUCACUCUCAGGUCUCUGCUGGUAUGCCUGCUUUUCAGGGAGAGCCUUAUCUCACCCACUCCUCUCAAUAACAUUCUCUGACUGUCACUGGGCCAACCCUCUGCUCUCAGUAACACUGUCUGCCCGUCACAGGGCCCUCACCCCCUCCUCUAAGUAAUA